CUGAGACAAAAAAAAAUUAUUUGUAGAGGUGAGAAAUAAAACUUGUUCGUCAUGAUUUUAUUAUAAAAAACAUAAUUCAGCCCCAAAGUCACAUCAUAGUGCACUCAAUUUCAGAAGUCCUUCAACAAGCAUGGAGAAAGAUAUAAACUGAUGGUUUUUACAAGAGUAUUGAACAGCAUGGACUUUUAUAUGAAUAUUUGAUAGGUGGUGGAGAUCCAAAAGUUGUCGAAAAAUUCCCAUACGGUCGGCAAGAAUUAAAAAAGGAGUGUGCCAAUCAUAUGACAAGAUGUGUGAACGAUAAGCUCCACAAAUUCGCAAUCGUAAAAUGUUAAGAAUAAAAUAGAAACAUAACUUAUAUGGAAAGAUUGGUUGAAUCUAUGGAAAUGAUAGGUGAAAAACAAUAAGAAUGAUGAGGUUAUGUUACACGAGGAUUUGGGAUCGCACCUUAUCAUAUAUUGGGCUACCACGAGAACUACAGGUGAAUUGUACUUCAAAUAUACACGAUAUUGCAAAAGGAAAAACGAUGGGAAAGAAGGUUGUACAAAAUCCGUUCUUUUUUCAAGAGAUUUUGAAAAUUUUAGAAUCUAUGCAAAAUAAGGCUGAUAGGUUGGCAUACAAAGGAACCAGAAACCUAGCCUAAAGGUAUAUGGCUCUUGUAGCAAAAUGUAUGGGAGGAAAGCGGAUCAACUUUAGCCUAUCCAUUUCAUAAAACUGCCGGGCCUCUAGUGCUGCACUUUUCCAUGCUGAUGGUCCUACCUGUCAUCUUAAUGCAUGGAAAGGAAGUGGCAGCAAUCACAAAAUGAAAAAUUUUGUUUGAAGAGGAAGUAAUAAUGACCAGAGGAAAAAAAAGAUUAUUUGGUCGAAGUCCAGAAAAAGAUGUUUUGGUCCUGAUUAAAAUUAAGGACAAAAUACUUCUCAACCGGAACUGGCAGAAAAUGAAAUGGAGGUAAAGAAGAUAAAUUUCCUUCAGGAGCUACAGGAACGAAUUUCGGGGAUUCGAACGUAGAAGAAAAAAAAAAGAAGACUAUUAAAGGACAGUAUGAUAAUAUAUUGUGGAGGAAAUAUCUGCAGGAUUACCUUAAAUCUUCAAAUUUCGGAG